rnacentral:tRNA from 1 species
AGUUUUAUAAUCUAAAAAAGAUUUUAAAUUGCAAAUUUAACUAUAUUGUUUAAUCAUUUAAAACUU